CUUUCGCCCGAGGCGGGCUGCGGGCUGCUGGGGUCUGGUGCGGAGGGCCAACUUCUGGGAAUAACCUGGCUGUGGGCUUAAAAAUCGUAGUCAUUCAUUAUCACGGGCUUCUCUCUCUCGAAUACCUUUAACAUUUAUCGCCUUGUUAGUCUCCACAUCCACCUCCGUGAAAGAGAUGGAGUCUCGCUAUAUUUCCCAGUCUGGCCUCAAACUCCUGAUCUUAAGGGAUCCCCAGCUCAACCUCUCCCAGCAGCUGGGACUACCGGGCUGUCAAAUUUACAUUAACUAUGAGAAUUAAGCAGGAAUUCUCAAGGGUCUCUUUGGAGGCUUACCAAGGACAUCCAGCUGCACAGUGAAGGUGGCUUCUCCUGCUCUAUUCUUGGCAACACAUGCAUAAGCCCCUGCAUCUGAAGCUCUGACUACUUCAAAGAUGAGUGAAUGAAGACCCUUCUCAGACACUAUCAUUUUGUGCAAAUCAUCUGAUUGAACUGUUCUUCCAUUUAGAUACCAUGACACAUCAGGAGCUGGCAGUCCACUCACCUAGAAAGAAAAACACAAGGAGAUGGCAGAAUUUUAAAGUAUUGCAUCACUGAAACCUAUUUGUCCAUAUAUGAAUUUAAACAGUUCCCGUAUCUGAGUGGGUUUGCGAUUGAAAUGCAAAGCAAGAGCUCAAAAGUAUUUAUAAUUUUUUAAACAAAACAUUGGAAAUAAGAUCCUUGAAAUUAACAUAGUAUUUUUAGACUGUCUCAAACCAUAACUCUUUUACAUGCAACCUCAGUCUCUUUAUGAACUCUUAAUUUCUAUAUUUAGAACAUUAAUUUAUGUUACAUUGGUUUCCAUAAGGAAUAUAGAAGUCAUUGCUUUUCUGGCUAAAUGUGACUGCAAAUGAAGUCCCAGAGGCACAUAUAUAUGAGGCUUCCUGAUCUAAUGCGUAAUUUUUCUAAAACAGAGUGUUCUUGAGCUAUAGUUUGGCAUAUAAAUGGCAAUUUGUUAAGUGUUUUUACAUAAACUGUUAACAGUGGAAUCCAAAGCUUUAACACUAACUUGAGUUCAUAAGGAAUCUGGAAAAAAAAUUUUAUAAGGAAAAGUUCUCCAAAAUAAGGAUAAUAAAAAUAUAACCUCUUCUAAAGAGCUUUUCUAGUCUGAGGGACUCUUUUAGGCCAAGAGAAAGCAGGGUGGCUUGAAUUUCUUGAUAGAGGAGAAUUGGAGAGACAUUAUACUUUAAGGCUGGGCACAGUGGCUCACGCCUGUAAUCCCAGCACUUUGGGAAGCCAAGGUGAGUGGAUCGCCUUGAACCCAGGAGUUCUAGACUAGCUGGGCAUGGUGGCACGCGUCUGUAGUUUCAGCUACUAGGGAGGCUGAGUUGGGAUGAUGGCUUGAGCCUGGGAGACAGGUUGCAGUGAGCUGCGAUUGUGCCAUUGCACUCCAGCCUGGGUGACAGAGCAAGACCCUGUCUCAAAAAAAAAAAAAAGGGCAUUGUACUUUAAAAAUUAUAUUGUUCUGAUAGCUUCACUUAUAAAAGUAUUUAUUAGGUAUACCUAUCCACUCAAUUAAUCCUCAUAAUUUUUUGGGGUAUUUGUUAUCCCAUUUUACAGAUGAGGAGACAAAAGCACAGAGAGGUUAAAUGACUUGUCUAAGGUUGCUUAGCUGGAGGAUGGCAGAGCCAGAAUUCAAACCCACAUCAGUUUGACUUCAGAAUUUGUGUUCUUGUCCAUUGUACGUACUGCUUUGCAAGCUAUGAAGUAGGAAAAGAACAUUUUUCAAAACUUAGUAUCCCAUUGUUAAUUUUCCCCCAGUACUUUUGAACCCUUCUCUUACUUUGAAGUCCAUUCUGCAGAAUCUUCCUUCAUCAAUCGACAUGUUCUCUGGCACUUGAAUGAAACGUGGUGGGUAAAAUUUCUCCUGGAUUGCAUCCUGAUCAUUCACAUCUCCCCUUGAGGUUGAUCUACUUCUACAAGAAUAUUUUGGUAACAACUAUGCGUAAAUAUUAUCAUUGCUUUUCAUUUUGCACAAAUAUAGUUUAGCCAUCAAUUUUUUUUUUUCAAUGGAGUUUCACUCUUGUUGCCCAGGCUGGAGUACAGUGGCCCAAUCUCAGCUCACUCAGGAGGCUAAGGCAGGAGAAUCGCUUGAACCCGGGAGGCGGAGGUUGCAGUGAGCCGAGAUCGCGUCGCUGCACUCCAGCCUGGAUGACAGAGUGAGAGUCUGUCUCAAAGAUAAAUAAAUAAAUAAAAAUAUCCAAAUUAAGUUUUUGACGUUUUUCUAUAGUGGUGGUGUGAACAUGUAUAUAGUUAUAUUCAGAGAUGUGGUAUUUCAGUUAUACCAACCUCCGCUUCUUGGGUUCAAGUGAUUCUCUUACCUCAGCCUCCCGAGUAGCUGGGAUUACAGGCAUGUGCCACUACGCCUGGCUAAUUUUGUAUUUUUAGUAGAGAUGGGGUUUCACUAUGUUGGUCAGCCUGGUCUUGAACUCCUGACCUCAGGUGAUCUACCCACCUCGGCCUUCCAAAGUACUGGGAUUACAGGUGUGAGCCACUGCGUCCAGCCUAGCCAUCAAAUUUGAAACCACAGAAUCUACUGUUUGAUCUGAUAGUGUAAUAACAAUGAAGAGAGGCCUUAGGGCUGUAUUUACCUGUGGCAUAUUUGAUGACUAUUAGAAAUGGUAGCAAUUUAGAAACAUCUGGUACAAAUUGUACAUCUUAGUUUCUCUUUUACAGUGCCAUGAAUUGAUGAAGAAAUGGUCUAUUAAAAUGCCCAGUACCCAGCAGAUUAUUCUUACCACCAAAGAUUGUAUAAUAAGAAUUAGGUCUCCAUUGUCAUGAGAAAAUUGUUUAAUAUAGAAGCAUGAUCCUGGCUUAUUUGACCAAAACAUUAAAAAAUUCCCCUGUGAUAGUUUUGAUGAUGAACGUCAAAAUUUUGGUCAUCUUCUCAGACAUUAGAAAAUACACAUUGUAUUUUUCAAAAGGUAUAGAGUAGGCUCGAGGGCUUUAUAAAUAUUACAUUUUUAAGCUGAAAAUAUUUUAGAUAGGAAAACAUACAUUUCUUUAAAAUUAAAAUUUUUUACCUUACUUGUGAUGUAGGAACUUGCAGUCGCGCAUGUUCUGAGUUGUGUUGCUUGAAAUUAAAACAAAGUAAGAAUGUUUACAUGCAAUUGUUAGCUUGAAUGAAGCAGAAUUAAGUAGUUACAGUUGAAAGGAACAUUCCUAUUUUGGCUGUAUUUGAACAGCCCUGGUAAGUUCUAUAUAUUCAGCUUUUAAGCCCUUAAAGUACAGUGCACUAACAUACUACCACUCUAGCAAGAAGCCCAGAAUUAAUGGGACUAUUCAACAAGUAUUAUUUAUGAAAAUUAGCUAGACUUGGAAUUGAUGGUGGUUCAUUUUUCAGAUGACUAUUUUAUGACAAAGGGUGAUGUGUCUCCCUGGUGCAUUUGAAAUGGGAGCACAGAGUACAGAUUGUCCUUUAGUAAAACAGGAAUAGACAUGAAGUCACUUGUAUUGGCAGUAGCUGCAGGGUAUUAUGCCUGCUGCUCAAAAGUGGCACCAACAGCAGUAAACACAUAUUAGACUGGAAAAUUCUUCUCUUUUUAGCUCGUGGCACAAAAUCCUGAUGGACUCCACGAAAGAAUCCGAAAGUCAUCUGAGUUGGCUAUCUGCACGUUCUCUCUGUACCAGUGAACUUGAACUGUGGCUGUGGCCUGGAUUCCGCAUUCAAACAUGACCAACUGACCUCUGGUUGUAGGGAUGUCUUGAAGAUGCUGAAGAACAAACACAGAGUUCAGAGGAUGGAAGAAACUGUUAUACCAUCUACAAUGAUUUGAAAUGCCAUUUGCAACUGCAGUUGACCGUGGGUUAUUGAAACCACAGAAAGUGAAACUGGAUAACGAAGUGAGUACUAUGUUGUAAUUUCUUAAGAGCCCUGAAUUAGGGAACUUGGGCCAAAAUAUUAACUCUGCCACUGGCUGAUUGAAGCUGGUUAUAGGAACUUGGAAAAGACUAUUAACUUCUCUGGAACUCAGGUUCUUUGUCUAUGAAAUAGGGCUAGCAAAAUAUGUGGGGUUUUGAGGUUCAUUUCACAAAGGUCUGAAAACUUCCUGUAAAGAGUAAGAGUUAUACAGAUAUAUAAAAAGUGUUUUUAGCUAGUUUAGUAUCACAAUGUAUAAAUGAAUGGAUGGCAUUUAUGUUAAAUUUACCCCUUAAAUCCUGAUCUUUCUCCUCCCUCUACCUGCAACCCCAGAGUACCCUGGAAUCUAGAAUGAUAUUUCAGAUUAUAACUUGGCAGUGAGACCAGAGAGCGGGAAUCUGAGGUCUUUCUACAGGUUAGACUAAGGACCAGCCUAACCCUCAGGCUUGAUGCCCAGAGGUCUCAGGCAUCUUAUAGGGAAGGAAUGCAGCAGGAGAGACUUGUAGAAAUAACAGACAUGUACGUGACAGCAUCUGUUGAAAACAAGCUUCCAGAAUCAAUAGCAAUGUCACUUACUCUUAAUGACAUUGUUUUGUUUGUCUCCCAUCCUGUAUCUGGUACAGAUUAAAUCCCUGCCCUGCAUUUCAUACUUUGAGCCAGCAAUGGGCAUUGAUUCCAAUUCUGCCAGGUUUGGUAAUUGGGAGACAGAGAGCCCAGAGAAGGCUUAGCCCUAGUUUUGGUUUGACCGGGGUGAUUGAAUUGUGCUAUUUCCAGUGGGUGAGAGGGAAGAUAGUGAUUCCUGGCUGUGACCUAAUCAGGACUUAGUUACUACUUUGCUUGUUGACUUCUUCAGAAUGGCAUUUUAUGGCUAGUUAAGAGAAUUUGACUAUAUUUUGAGGUCAGGCAAAGCAGUCUCCUUGGAGGGGACAGUCUAAGCAUUGCCCUCCAGAGGUGGAGGACGGCCACAGAGCAGAAGUCUAAAGAGCACAGGGUAAACCAUGAAUUGCUCUGUGACACUGAGCAAAUCAUUUCACCCCUUUUCAGCCUCAUUUUUUCUCAUAUAUAACGUGAUAAUAAUCUCUGAAAUCCUUUCUGAUUUCCCCUUUUUUUCUUCUCACCGCUUCACUAAUGUCUAAAACUUACUUAUAAAAUCUAAACUCCAUCAUGCAGUAUGGAGAGGUUACCUUGGUAAACACAGAGGGUACUACACAAGUGGAUCCUGACAGGCUGCUGCAGGGACUCUGCAUCUGGUUUAAGGAAUAAAAGAGAACAUGGUGCUGUCACUCAUACUGUCAAAGCCCUGAAACUCAGGUCCAUGGUUGCCAGAAACUGACGGGCUCAGUUCUAGCUGCUACUGACCACACCUUAACUUUCCUUUAUGAAAAGCAUGAUGCUUCUAAUUUCAGUGUCAGUUUGGGUAUUUGCUCCAGUGUGCUACACUUGCUUCUUUAUCCUUCAGCAUUCCAUUAGCUGAGAUGGAGAAAUACAACACUGGGCAAUUAUAUUUGGGAAAUGCAUAUUGGCAAGUAUUUAGAUACUAUAUAUUAAACAUUUAAAAAAAGUUUAAAUUUUACUAAAUUUUUUUUCUUCCUCCAUACAAUUGCUCUUCUUGGAUCUUUUAGAUUUCCAAAAAAGCAUCUCCCUCCCCCGCUUUUUUUUUAAAUUAAAAGGGAAUUCAUUCCUCGGAUAGUUGGAAUAUUCUCUUAUGGGAACAAGUUCCUAGAAACCAACUGUCCCUUAUCUGGCACACAAACAAAGGGCCAAGCCAUAGAGCUACCAUGGAGUUAUUUCUGAAACCUAUGGAUUUCUUUCUUGUUCUUUUGAGUUCAUGCAGCUAGAGGCUUUCUUCUUGUAUACUUCUUAAGAAAACUGCAUUGACUCCUUUUUCUUGGGCCUAUGUCUCCAUUACUAAGACCCUCUCAGAAGGCUUAAAACUGAACUUACCCUCUAGGGAUUAAUAUACAGUUGUUGAACUAAGUUAGAGUAACUUGAUCUGUUGUUGGAGGUUUCAUUCGUUGGGGAGCUGAUGGUCAGAGAAACUCUAGUGGUUUUCUUCUUUAUCCUGUGGGGGAAACAAAACCAAACACCGUCAAGUGAAAGAAAGAUUAGAGGCGACUUUGAUAGAAAUGCCUCACUGUAUACACAUUUGAAUGUAGCACACAUUUUUACCUAUAAUUCUUAAAUUUCUCUACAUUUGCAUAAUCAUUUUAAUACUUUUUUUGCCUUUUUAACCAAUUAUUAGUGGAUUAUGGUUCCUAAUUGUUUCACUUUAAAUUUCUUUUGUCUCAGUCUGGUAAUCAGGGUGUGUUAUGAAACACGUUGUCUAGAAGAAAUAACCUAUAAAGCAAAUAAUCACUUAAAAGUUUGUCUGCAAAGUCUUAGGUUUUUUUUUUUUUUUUGGUAUUUUUUAAAGUGGAACUUUCACUAUAUUCACACGCAACAAAUGCACAUCCACAUGAGAUUCUGCACUUACCCUGAAAUUUCUGUAGCACAUUUCAACCACAAUUCCAGAGAUAAAACUUCCUUACUUCCCUGAGCACCUGCAAGAAAGAGAAAAAAUAGAUUUGUUCUAAAUCUCAUUGGGUUUUAAUACAAUUUAGUUCCAGUGUAUUGUAUUUACACUCGGACUAGCAGCAGGUAUCGGUUACAGACAGGUUAAUCCAGAACAUCUGGAUUCUUUUUAUUUUAUUUUAUUUUUAUUAUUUUUUUCUUUUUAGAUGGAGUCUCGCUUUGUUGCCCAGGCUUGAGUGCAGUGGUGUAAUCCUGGCACACUGCAACCUCUACCUUCCGGGUUCAAGCGAUCCUCCCACGUCAGCCUCCUGAGUAGCUGGGACUACAGGCUGCACCACCAUGUCUGGCUAAUUUUUGUAUUUUUAGUAGAGAUGGGGUUUCACCAUGUUGGUCAGGCUGGUCUUGAAUUCCUGACCUCACAUGAUCUGCUGCCUCAGCCUCCCAAAAUGCUGGGAUUAUAGGUGUGAGCCACCAUGCCCUGCCCAGAACAACUGAAUUCUUAACUCAGGAUGGAACUACUUUAGCAUUCUCCAUUUUAGAAAUCCAGAUGUUUACCUUUAUAGAGUUAUAGCACUUGUGCCCAGAGGAGGUAUUGAGUCAUUUCUCAAAAACAUUAUUUCAGAGGGCAUAAAUUAGUAUCUGUGAAUUUGUGUUUUGGUCUGAAGUCUUCAGAAUAUUUGUUAUAGUAAGAAAUAUAUUGAAACACAUUGCUAUGCUUACUAUAAGGAAGGAUGUUAUCUUAGUCUGUUCAGGCUUGCUAUGAUACCCUUUAAAAUACCUUACUGGGUAAUUUGUAAACAAUAGAAAUUUAUUGCUCACAGUUCUGGAGGCUGAGAAGUCCAAGACCAAGGCACCAGCAGAUUUAGUAUUUGGUGAGAGCUGUCUCCUUCGUAAAUGGUGCCUUGUUGCUGUGACCUCACAUGGUAGAAGGGGCAAGGGAAUUCCCUCAAGUCUCUUUUAUAAGGAUACUAAUCCCAUUCAUGAGAGUGGAGUCCUCAUGACUUAAUCACUUCCCAAAGGCCCCAGUUCUUAAUGCUAUCACAUUUGAAUAUUAGGUUUCAACAUGUGAAUUUUGGGGGGACGUCAGCAUUUGGACCAUAGCAGAUGUUGUCAGUGUUCCUAUUAUCUCCAUGAUGAUUUACUAGAGAAAUGUAUUUCAGUUGUUAGUACCAGGAAUAAUUGAGCGUCUCCCACGAUACUAGUUUAAUUUUUCCUCAUAGACACUAUUAGUCUUAAUAUUGGUUGUGUUGCUGUGUUAGCUAACUGAAAGUUUAGAGCUCACCUCAGAGCCAGUAAUUUUUUAAUUUAAAAUUUUAUUUUCAUUAAAUUGAAUUUAUAUCUAAAUAUUCAUUUUCAGUUUAGGAAAACUUCUAAGUGUGUUUAGAACAGUCUAGGUAUAUGAAUCUACUUUUUAUAAAUUGCAUACAAUUUAAAUACAUGAAGUAUUUUAAAUGAAAAUUUAGCAACUAAAUUCCAAUGUUUUAAUGCAAAAUACAGUUUUAAAGACUAAGUACCAAAAAAGGUAAAAUUAUUAUUAUUAUUCUUAUUGUUGAGAUGGAGUCUUGCUCUGUUGCCCAAUCUGAAGUGCAGUGAUGCGAUCUCUGCCCACUGCAACCUCUGCCUCCUGGGUUCAAGCGAUUCUCCUGCCUUAGCAUCCUGAGUAGCUGGCAUUACAGGUGUGCCACCACACGCAGCUAAUUUUUUUUUUUUUUUUUUGUAUUUUUUGUAGAGAAGGGGUUUCACCAUGUUGGCCAGGCUGGUCUCAAACUCCUGACCUCAAGUGAUCUUCCUGUCUCAGUCUCCCAAAGUGCUGGGAUUACAGGCAUGAGCCACUAUGCCCGGCUGCAAAAUGAAUUUUUAUAUUGAUUGCACGUUGAAAUGAUAAUCUUUUAUAUAUGUUGUGUUAAAACAUAUUAUUAAAAUUAAUUUUACCUGUUCCUUUUUGUAAUUUUAGUGUUACCAUUAGAAAAUUUAAAAUUAUAUAUUUGCUGUUCUCUUUUCUGAUAGGCAUUAUAUUUUUAUUAGAUGGCACCAUUCUGAACCAUGAGCUUUCCUAAAGGGUUAAUAAAACUUUCUCAAUAUCUUCUAAA